ACUCAAUUACUCUUCUUUGAAUCUAUUAAAUUCAUUCAAGUGAAAAAGAGAUAUGAUUUCCUCACAUAUUUUAACGUUUUUCCAAAAGGGUGAUACUUGCGAAGGAGGGGGAAAAUGGUUUGACAAAUCUCCAUUCUUGAGAGAUAAGCCUGCUCGCAGUCAUUGACAAAAUCAAUGCGUGCAACACAAAGAUAACAACAAUACGUAAUGCAAUACAUAACAUAAUACAAAAGUCUAUCUCCAAAAAGAGGCAGAAAAGUAAAAAUCAACAACAACAAUAUCAUAGCAUGUGACAUGGAUAAACCCCUCCUCAUAGAUAGCGUAAUUAAGCGUUGGCACUGGGUUGAUGCCUCGCCUUUUCCUUCUCCUUCACCUCGCUUCCCUGCGUCUUGUCAUAAGCUUCAUGCAUAUACACACCAAACAAAAGAAGCUAAAAAUUAAGACAAACAAAACAAAAUAAGAAGCAAAUGUAUAUACAUGCAUGUCUGAUAAGAAAACUAAACCUGGGUGAUUUUCAUGUAUGCACUCAUCCGUCUUGGGCAUGGAUUGUUUUCCACCAUAAAUUCCACCAAACCCUUCUUCAUCACACCUCGUAGCGUACCCUUCCCCAAACGAAUGAGACAUCACAUCUCUUCAUAACAUUCAUCAUAAUUAACUCAUUUCAGUAUGUACAGAAUCAAGAAUAUUAAUCCAGUGAUUGUCUUUCACUUUUACAAUAUCUAAUCUAAUUAAUAACAUGGUUACUCUUAAGAUCAUUAAUUAUUAUCAAAUGCGACUCAUCAUGAUGUGUUAUAGAAUCUAGUAACAUGGUAAUGAAUGAAAUCCAGAUAUAUUAUUUGAGCUCACCCAUGUUUAGUUUCCUCGCUAGGUUUCUGACUCUUGUCCAUGUUAUGAUCUCUACUGUUACUAUCAGAUUUGGUGCAGAAUCUAACUGCGGAAGCUUCCCGACCGAGGUUGGAAGAGAGAGAGCGUGGGAGUGAAACGUGUUGACAGGUUAAAACCGUUUUGAUCGAGUGAAGCAUUGCUUUUUCUAUGUCGAGAAGGAUGGAUCCUGUUGCAGAGACAGUGUGGUAGUCCUAUAAUUUCGAACAAUGCAAAUCCUAUAAAUCCUCCCGUGCACUUAAUCUUGUUCACAUGCUUCAGAGAAAACAUGAAGCACUUUCAUGACAUGACAUGUGGUAUGUUUUGGACGUUUGUCCUUCACACAGACCCUCACGUGGAGGGCUGUUGAGCCUUUUGCAUGCAAAGAAUAUU
rnacentral:lncRNA from 1 species